UUGUUGUUGUUGUUUUUUAAUAAAGAAGAAGAUGAUGAAGAAUCUAUGAACCAAAAGAAAAGUAAACCAAUAAGUGUUGUUUUCCCUUUUAAAAAUAUAUUUCUAUGGAUAAA
rnacentral:ribozyme from 1 species